UACGUAGGGUCCGAGCGUUGUCCGGAGUUACUGGGCGUAAAGCGCGCGCAGGCGGCGGUGUUGGCCCGGCGUGAAAGCCCCCGGCUCAACCGGGGAGAGUCGUCGGGGACCGCACCGCUUGAGGGCGGUAGGGGCUGGUGGAAUGCCUGGUGUAGUGGUGAAAUGCGUAGAGAUCAGGCAGAACACCGGUGGCGAAGGCGGGUCUCUGGGCAGUAACUGACGCUGAGGAGCGAAAGCGUGGGGAGCGAACAGG
rnacentral:rRNA from 1 species